rnacentral:rRNA from 1 species
UAGUCCACGCCGUAAACGAUGGUCACUAGCUGUUCGAACUUCGGUUUGAGUGGCUAAGAGAAAUUGAUAAGUGACCCACCUGGGGAGUACGUUCGCAAGAAUGAAACUCAAAGGAAUUGACGGGGGCCCGCACAAGCGGUGGAGCAUGUGGUUUAAUUCGAUGAUACGCGAGGAACCUUACCAGGGCUUAAAUGUAGAUUGACAGGUUUAGAGAUAGACUUUUCUUCGGACAAUUUACAAGGUGCUGCAUGGUUGUCGUCAGCUCGUGCCGUGAGGUGUCAGGUUAAGUCCUAUAACGAGCGCAACCCCUGUUGUUAGUUGCCAGCGAGUAAUGUCGGGAACUCUAACAAGACUGCCGGUGCAAACCGUGAGGAAGGUGGGGAUGACGUCAAAUCAUCACGGCCCUUACGUCCUGGGCUACGACACGUGUUACAAUGGACGGUACAAAGGGCAGCUACCUGGUGACAGGAUGCUAAUCUCUAAAGCCGUUCUCAGUUCGGAUCGAAGUCUGCAACCCGACUUCG